rnacentral:rRNA from 1 species
GAUCUGGUUGGGCGGUCUACCUUCACGGUGUGUACUGUCUGACUGGAUCUUACCUCUUGGUGAACUGGUGUGCCCUUUAUUGGUGUGCAUCGGAGAACCAGGACUUUUACCUUGAGAAAAUUAGAGUGUUCAAAGCAGGCAUAUGCCUCAAUACAUUAGCAUGGAAUAAUAAAAUAGGACGUGUGGUUCUAUUUUGUUGGUUUUUAGAAUUGCCGUA